AGACCCGUUUUUUGGCUGCAGUCCCGACUGCUAGGGCUAUAGACAACGAUCCUCAUGGACCUCUUUUUAGAUGGUUGAGCCAGUUUCAGAUUGUCUCGUUAGGACAUCCCGACGUUCAGUUGUCGGAGGCUCAGAUUGACCGGUCCCUAGAGGCAUAUAUUCUUUGGCUGUUCGGCAAGACAAUGUUUACGGAGAACCACGUGACCACUGUCGAUGCACGACUCAUCGGUAUUGCACGAGAGAUAGCUGAAGCACGUUGCCCUGCGGAUAUUCUACAGAGGAGUUUUGGUUCUGCUGUGUUAGCGGCUACGUACAGAGGCCUGUGCAAAGCUUGCUUGUUGAAGUCUAGAAAAUCUAGUCUUGUUGGAUGUCCAUUAUUGUUGCAGCUUUGGUCAUACGAGAGGUUCCCUACUGGACGACCCUAUGUCUACAUUGAUAAACCUUUUGGUUUGGAGGACUUAGCUGGGACUUAUGUGCCUGCUAUCGGUGACUUACCUACUAUGGGAUCUGUUUGGACACGGCGAGAGAGACAGUUUGCGCAUACUCAGGUUAGGGGAUGCUACC